CCACUCAAAAUUGAUUUCACUUGUUUGAAAUGAUGUGACACAACCAAUAUAAGCCAGUUCAGAGAGCAAACAGGUUGUUGAAGGUGGGAAAAUAUUGCUUGUGAUGUCGACGAAGUGCUCUGGCCUGACCCAGCCCAAAGACAAGAAGAAGCACAUUGAUCACAUGUUUACUCCUUAGAUUUGUGUCCCUUUUACUGUAUAGUAUUGUAUACUGUAGUACAGUGCAUUGUAGGCUGUAUACUGUGCAAUGAACAAAUGGUAUGGCCCUGAACAUUGUGCUUUCCAUUUGUUACAGUAACAGUACUGACUGCUCAAUAGAUUUGGACUGGUUGCAGGUUCAUAUCAACAAAGAACAAGAGUGAGUUGUGAGUCGUGAGAUGCAGGGUACAGCACUGUAUAGGGGUACAAGGAGGAGAAAGAACAAAAUAAAUUGCAAAGAGCAAAGCAAAGUAGUAAUUUCUGAUCAAUUUUGAGCUACUAUGAUAGAACAUGUUUUCGUUCAUCAAAAGACAAUGACGGAUAAAUAUGAAAUUUGUUUUGAGAUUAAAAAUGUACUUUCCCCUGAGAACUAUAUGUUUUGAACAAUGUGUUUUCUAUUUUUUGGUGUAUUGUUUACUGACUGCUUGAUAGUGUAUAUCAUUUUGAUCACUUUGUUUAUGAUUUGAGAGCAGUGUUUGAUUUUGAGCACAGGUAAAACAGUUUUGAGGCGAAAGUUUCAUUUUGCAAGAGGAUUCAGAGGUUUUGUAAAUAGUGCUUGAAGAUGAGGUUUUGUGUUUACAGUUUUGAGAAAAUGGGUGACUGUUUCAAGAAAUGUGUUUUAGCAAUCAUGAAAAACUGUAUACCCAAAGAAUGGUGAAAAGAUGGGGACCAGAAAAGGUCUAUGUGAUGUCGGGGACAAGUUUAAUAAAAAAAAAACAAUAAAGAAGAAAAUGGUCCAUCAUUAACAAUCCAUACAAAUGCAAAAUUAUGCCUAA